AGCGCAACCCUUGUCCUUAGUUGCCAUCAUUAGUUGGCACUCUAAGGAGACUGCCGGUGUUAAACCGGAGGGAAGGUGGGGAUGACGUCAAGUCCUCAUGGCCCUUAUGUCCAGGGCUACACACGUGCUACAAUGGCCGGUACAAAGGGCAGCAAAGCCGCGAGGUGGAGCCAAUCCCAUAAAGCCGGUCUCAGUUCGGAUUGGAGUCUGCAACUCGACUCCAUGAAGUUGGAAUCGCUAGUAAUCGCGGAUCAGCAUGCCGUGGUGAAUACGUUCCCGGGCCUU
rnacentral:rRNA from 1 species